AAUAAUGUUUGUUGCAAGUCCUUUUAGAUUUUCUACAUAGAUAGUCCUCUCUUCUGCAAUUAUAGUUUUACUCCUUUCUUUCCGAUCUGUGUAUCUUAUAUUUUUCUUAUCUCAUUCAUCAGGGUAGGAUUUCCAGUAGUGUUGAUUAGGAAUAAUGUGAGUGGGCACUCUUACCUAUUACUGAUCUUUGGGAGAAAGCACUCAGUUUCUCACCAUUAAGUAGGAUAUUAGUUGUAUAUGCCCUUUAUUAAAAGGUUAAGGCAUAUUAACCUUUUAACCAUAUUAAACCUAUAUUAACCUUAACCAUAUUAAAGGGUUAAAGCAUCUCACUUCUGUCUCUAGUUUGCUAUGUUUUUAUUAUAAAUCUUUGAUUUGGUCAAAUUUGUCUUUAUCUGUUGAAACAAUCAUACAGUAUUUUGUGUUAUGUCUGUAUUAGAGGUUACAUUCAUUAUUAAGAGAGCCUUGCAUUCCUCAGGCGAACCAUGUAUUAUUUUUAUAUACUGCUGGAUUCAAUUUGCUGAAAUUUUAUUGAUGAAUUUUACAUACUGUUCAUGAGGUAUAUUGUCAGUGGUUUUCUUCUUAUGUCUUUGAUUUUGGUUUAUGGUAAUGUUAGCCUCAAUAUGAGUUGAGAAGUGUUCCUUCUCCAUUUUCUUGAAGAUACGGUAUAGAAUUAGAAUUUUUCUGUGAAACCAUCUGGGCUUGAGAGUUUUUAGAAAAUUUUAAAUACAGAUUCAAUUACUUUCUUUAUACUUAACUUACUAUUUGUUUUUGAGUUUGAUAGCUUGUAUUCUUGAAGGAAUUUUGUUCUAUAGUGGAGAUAGAAGGGAAAGGUCUUGGUGGUGUUUCUGCCCCUUGUGCAGAGCUGUUGUUCCCCUACCCUGGUCUGCACCCCAGAGGAUACUUCUUAGGGCUCCCGAUCUUUCUGUGAGUACCAGGUAGAGUUCAUGGAAGAAGAGCCUGUGAGACAAUGUGGACUCCGCACAGUAUCUUUGGCCCCAAGGGUUCGCAGUAUUCUGCCAUUCUGGAGUCUGCCUUUACGUUUGCCAGCUAUAUUAACUGUACUACCUCAUGUGGGCUUGUGUCACCUCUCCUUUUUCCUGAAGGGAAGACUUUGUAUCAGUUGUUUACUUGGCAACCUUAGGUCUCCUAUGGAAUCACAUAAAGUCUUAAGUUGGAAACUAUUUUUGUUCUUUUUUUGCUGCAGGGAUAAAAGAAAUACUUUUUACAGGUCUCUACAUCCUGAGGCAAAAGUCUUUAUGUUUUUUAAAACACGAGUUUCAAGAUAUAUUCAGUUAAGCCAAGUGGUGGAAUGUUUAUUCUGACCUUUGCACAUAAAUUAUUUAACCUGGAAAUACAUGAUAGUGUGAAGAUGACUUGAGAGCUCCCAAAGCACUCUGCAAAAUUCAGUUGUCUAGAGAAUGUACUUUAUUUUGUAGGAUUUGGACUUCUAUUUGCAGUAAGGAGAGACAACCAAGCAACUUAAGCCUAGAUUCUCCUAAAGUAUUAGGAGCAAUAGGAAUCUAAUAAGAUGGUUAAAUGCCCCCAGCUUCUUCAGUCCUUGAGUGGAAUGACCCUGAGGCAUCUUUCAGUAUUGACUUUCAGGGUUCCCAGAGGAAUAUGAAUCUGAGGAGGAAGUUUGAGGCAGAUACUGCAGAUUGGUUCAUUCUGCACCAGAGUUUUUCAACCUUGGCACCAUUGACAUUUUGGCCUGGAUAAUUCUUUGUUGUGAGUUCUGUCCCGUGCAUUGUAGGAUGCUGAACAGCAUCUCUGGACUCUAUCCACUAGAUGCUACUAUUACCCCCACCCCAGUUGUGACAACCAAAAAUGUAUCCAUACAUUGUCAGAUAUCCUGAAGGGUCCAAAUUAAUCCUUGGUGAGAACCAUUCCUCUAUAUAAAUCCAACACCUUUGUAUCUUGCCUUCCAGUACUCUGGAGACAGGCAAGCUGAGGGCAGCAUUCCCCAGACCCUCUUAUAGUUAGGAUUCUGUGUGUCACACUUGGAACAGGGAAGUGAACAUCACAAAGCAGCGGGCAUGUGACUUUUCUGACAAGCACCAUCAUGGAUGUAUUUGUUUUAUUUUGUUUCUAGAACAGUAGUGGGAAGGAUCCUGUCUCUGGCUUCACAGGUACUGACUACAGGGGCAGCAGUGUGAUUUUGUUAUAACAACCCUAUUGGAUAAAUACAUAGGUCUUUUUGGUAUUUCUUCUCACUACAUAACACCUAAUUUGGUUUUCUGGGGCUUCAAGAAAUUUGAAAUGAAUCCUUUUUUGAUUAAACUAGCUAUAAACAAUUCUAUUAUCUGAAAUAUAGUCAUUCCUAUCAGGACAAUGGACAGAGAGUGUCACAACCAAACUGUAACUUUGGCUAUAAAAAGGAAGUAGGGAAAAAGAUUCUGGAUUUAGACUGUGUAGACUGGAGAGCUUAUGAACCAAGUUGUACAUCAAACAAUCCUUGUAUGGCAGAAACCAUCCUAACUUUGCCUGUAACGUUAACCAAAAAGUUAGGAAAAAUUCAAAAUAUUAGUGUAAGUGUGCUGAUCCCUGCUUCUUUCAGCAAAAUCCUGCAAGAUAUGGAUCAACUCAAGGUGGAAGUGGAAGGAAAUAGCACUUGGCUAAGAGAGGCCAUGGGCUUGUGGCCUGCAAUCUAAGUAGACUAAACCUUCACUAAUUUGGAAACUUGCAGAGUUAAAAAAAUUUCACCUGUGACAUUUACCCAAGGGAAUUGAAAACUUAUGUUCACACAAAAAUCUGCACAAAGAUACUUAUAGCAGCUUAAUUCAUCAUUGUGAAAAUUUGGAAGUAGCCAAGAUGUCCUUCAGUAGGUGAACGGAUACACAAAUGGGUAUAUCCAGAUAAUGGAAUAUUGAAUGAAAUGAGCGGGGUUCCUGGGUAGUUCAGUGGAUUAAGCUUCUGCCUUCAGCUCAGGUCAUGGUCUCGGUGU